CCUGGACUCUGGCAUUUCCCUUUCAAGAUUCAGGUGCAGAAGGAUGUUGAGUAAAAUGAAGAGCUCUACCUCUUUCUUACUUUCUUGUCAAUCUGGGAGCCUGCACGCACAGCAUUCAUUCCUGUGCCUGUGUUUCCUGCUGCACAUGCCUCAGUGAAGGCUGGAGAGCACAGGAGCUACAUGAACACUUUUUAUUGCACAGCAGAGGAGAUGGAACAGCUUGCUUUGAGGAAUGGAAAGGAAUUUUUUGGCUGUUUUCAAAAACCAGUGAUGUUAAAGGUAGCUACUGAACACAGAGAAGAAAGGUACUGCUCAGUGAGUGGAAAAGUCACCUUGUGUUUAAGUCAUGGAAUACAAAAGCGCAAAUAAAAUUAUGCAUGCACAGUGAAUGGAAUUUCUCGAGUUCUAUAGUCCAAUAAACCAUGUUAUCUUGGGUUAUGU